rnacentral:misc_RNA from 1 species
AUUAUUACCAAUAGAAACGCUAAUAAACAUACGUGGUAUGAUUAAUUUACAGGCAAACUGACCCGCCAUAUCUGUCGCACAAAACAUCGACCAUUUCUGGAUCACACAACACAACAAAUACAAUUAACAAAUAACUUAUUAUACCAUCUAAAAGUUGCAGCUGCACAGAUGCUGCUUUCUUUGCUGUGAACCUCACAUGCAGGAAUGCUUAUUUCUCUCGGUGCCAAUAAAACAAAUAGAGUGGAGCGUGCUCACAGAAUACUGCUCCAUCCCACCAAAAAUGAAAAGGAGAAAAAAAUGAUCUUAUCCCCUCCACUAAGAUGACCAUUCAAGCAGAAAAGAAUAACAUACACAUUCUUUUACAAACAGCGAGCUUCAUCUCUGAGAACCUUUGAUGCUUACUCAUUCAUCCUCCCCCAAAUCAAUCAAUUUGAAUGAGAAAGGACUAAACUUGUAUCCAUCUCCCUCGUAAAACUUAUUUUGGAACUCCACCCAGUGAAGUCGCAAUGCGUGUAGGAAGGCACUGAGUGUUUCCAUCACCAACAACACUCCAACAGUGGCAAAGAUGAAUACAAUGAUGCCAACAAUGAGAAUAAUGAUAUUGUUGUACCCCCAGGCGAGAAGUAGAACCUUUUCGUAGAAUACACUGGACAGCUCAGAGUGUGCAAGGCUGAGAGCCCACAGACGAAGGUACGAAGCUGUGUUUGAGACUGCUCCAAGU